UACGUAGGGCGCAAGCGUUAUCCGGAAUUAUUGGGCGUAAAGAGCUCGUAGGCGGUUUGUCGCGUCUGCCGUGAAAGUCCGGGGCUCAACUCCGGAUCUGCGGUGGGUACGGGCAGACUAGAGUGAUGUAGGGGAGACUGGAAUUCCUGGUGUAGCGGUGAAAUGCGCAGAUAUCGGGAAGAACACCGGUGGCGAAGGCGGCUAUCUGGACCGUAACUGACGCUGAGGCGCGAAAGCGUGGGGAGCAAACAGGG
rnacentral:rRNA from 1 species